AUGGUUAAUGAACAAGGUCCAUAUGAUAUGGGAAGGGAGAUAACAAAACCUCAGUCUCUCCAUGUGAAAACUAUGCCUAGUACAUUCUCAAUUCUAUUUUUUUUUUUUUUUUUUUUUUGGUCCAAACUAAAACCUCAGCUAGCUCUGAAAAAAAAAAAAGAUUGGCUGUCCAAAAUGGACAUAUCCCUGCCUGCCUGCAAGAAUCAAGAUUCAGGUGAUCAGAGUGGGCAAACCAAGUAAACAGCAUCUCUUAUGAGAAUCUCUCCUAAUGAAUGCUGUUUUUGCAUGGGUUCCAUAUUUCUGCAUAUGACCUGGCAAUAUCUGUUUUGUGACUAGCUUAAAAAUAUUUUUCUAAAUAUUGUAUUUUUGAAAUUUGAUUAUACUUUACCAAUUUAUUCAUUUUCACAAAUAUUCUUUCAGUAACUUCUAUGUGCAAAACUUGGGGCCAAGUAAGUAGAUAUAUUUCUUUUCUUUCUUUUCUCUUUUUUUUCAAGAUAUCUCACUCUGCCAUGCAGGACAGAGUGCAGUGUCAUGAUUUCUGCUCACUGCAACCUCCACCUCCCAGUUCAAGCUAGUCUCCUGCCUCAGCCUACGGAGCAGCAGGGAUUACAGGCAUGCACCACCAUGCCCGGCUAAUUUUUGCGUUUUUGUAGAGACAGGGUUUUGCUGUGUUGGCCAGGCUGGUCUCAAACUCCUGACCUCAAGUGAUCUGCUUGCCUCAGCCUCUCAAAGUGCUACGAUUACAGGCGUGAGCCACCAUGCCCUGCGUAGAUGUAUUUCUAAACAAGGCAUAAUCUCUUCCCUACAGUCCAUAGGGAAAUAAAUACCAAUAAUAAUUUCAAAAAAAUCUGAUAAAUUCUACAUAAAAGAUAUAAAUAUAAAUAAAUGUAAUUCAGAGUAGAAAACUAUUAGCACUUGUUGGAGUCUCUAAAAACGCUAUAAAGAGAAAGUAGCAUUGAGAUGAGCCUUGAAGCUUGAGUAUUAUGUUUUAAAAUAUAAUUUUAUGAACUUACUCUAUAAAUAAACCCACUUAUUUUUCAUAAAUUUGGCAAGAUAACCUUCAAAUAGAAGGAAAUAAAAUCAUCUAUAAGCCUGUCAGUCAAAAUCAAUGUUUUGAUUUUGCAGGAUUGAAUUACCUUAUCCCUCCCACAUAUCUAUGGUGUUUGUCACAUGAUGUGCAUUCCCUCCCACUAAAGGUUGUGUAUUCUUUCCUGUGUCUUGAAUUCUGCAUUAUCCAUGGGACUUGCUUUGGUCAAUGUGGUAUUAGCAGAUGUGACGCAAGCAGUGGCUUGAAAUGUGACUGCUGUCUUACAUUUCUCCCAUUGCAAUGAAAAAAAUAAGCUAUCUCCUGGUCCCAAAAGAAUACGGUCUCACAAAGAAGACCUGAAUCCUGUCAACAGCUUGGAGUUAAGUCCAGAAAAGUCUAGCAUAGAUCAGUCAAUAAUCAUCAAACAGCCAAUAGCACGUGACUGAGAAUAAAUCACUAUUGUUUUAAUCCACUGAGUUUAGGGGUGGUUUAUUAUGAAGGACAAUUUUGUCAAUAGCUGAUACAGUGUUUUCUAUGCUUUGUUUUUAUAAGAAUGACAUUAUACUGUAAAUGCUAUUUUGUAAUCUGGUAUUCACACUCAAUAGAUUGUGAUUAUAUUUCCAUUUGGUUACUUCUUUUUAAUGUCAGAAUAAUUUUUUAACGUUCCCUCAAGUAAAAAGCUGUAUUUUAUUAGUCAAGUUGGGCUGCAAGUGGGAAAAAAAUAAAACUGAGUGGAAGAAACAAGUUUCUUUCUUACAUGAAUAAAAGAAGCUCUGCGCUGGUACGACACCACAUAAUGUAGAACCCCAGACCCAGGCUAUCUCUUUCUCAUGGUUCAGGAAGAUGGAGGCAAGUAAAUAGGGGCAAGGGCAUUUUUCAUGAGUUGCACACACCAUUUUAUUUAUAUCCAAAGAGUAGAACUUAGUCACAUCGCAAUGACUAGCUAUAAAAAAAUUGAGGAAAGUGGCAUUUAUAACAAGUAAUUAAGACACAGGUAAAAAUGAUAGGCUUUAGUCUCAGGUGAAAAGUGGAGAACAAAGAGGGGACUAUAAUGGAUAAUCUCUGUGGUUGACACCUGUGUUGUUUUUAAUGCUUUAAUAUAAUAAAUAAUGCUAUGGUGAAAUUUAUAGUUUUUGGCAGGCAAAAAUGGAGCAGAUAUUUGAUAGGGAAUGGAGUGAAUAUAUGAAAACCUAGGAAGCUAUUUAAGAAUAAUGAGUGAUAUAAUGUUGUCAUGGUAUAAAAGUUGUGUAGCAUAGAUGGAAAUAAAGUUUGUCUUUCCAAAAAUAUUAAUCUUGUAUGCCCAGAAAGAGAAGCGAAUGCUGAGUCACAAGAUCAACAAUGCUAGAUCUUCAUUUUCAGAUUGUUAUCUAAUUAGUAUAUGAAGCACUUAUGUUUGCUAAGUGAACUAGUUGAUCCAACACAAAAAGCCGUCCUGGAGAGUUUAACUUUCCCUAGAUUUUUAUCAAAAUGUAAACAUUUUUCUUUUUCAUGUUAAAAGAUAAACGCUUUCUUGGAGUAACUAUUUUUUUAGAAUAGGUAUGAGUAUAUUCUAUAUUUUUAUAUAAAAUUGACAUUACUUGUCAUGAUCAUAGAAAUAAUAACUUACACUUGAAGAACUCUAUAGUUCACAAAACACUUUCACACAAAUGAUCUUAUAUCUUUGUCAUAAUAAAUCCUCAAAGUGAGCAAAGAAAUAUUAUCUUUUAUAGACAGAGAAACCAAAUAUCAAGGAAUAGUAAAUGUCUUCCAAAGAUCACACAACUAAUCAGGUUAAAAGUUUGGUAACUAGACUGAAAUCUAGGACUCCUGAUUCCUAUUACAUCAUAUUACAUUGUUGUAACUAUAAAUCAUAAAUGCUUAAUUUUAAUGAAACUGGAUUUAAUAUGAUGCAUUUAACAACAGACAACAAAUGUUAAUUAAAAAUUAACAAUUUAGUCUGGGUUUGGUGGCUCACACUUGUAAUCCCAGAACUUUGGGAGGCAGAGAUGAGUAGAUCACCUGACGUAAGGAGUUCAAGACCAGCCUGGACAAUAUGGUGAAAACUGAUCUCUACUAAAAAUACAAAAAAUUAGCUGGGUAUGGUGGCAGACUCCUGUAAUCUCACCUACUUGAGAGGCUGAGGCAGGAGAAUCACUUGAACCUGGGAGGCAGAGGUUGCAGUGAGCUAAGAUCGUGCCACUGCACUCCAUCCUGGGCAAUAAGGUGAGACUUGGCCUCAAAAAAAAUUGAUAAUUUGAUAUCAUUAUCAAAAAUAGUAUUUAUAUUUUAGUGGUAUUAAUAUUACUCAGUUCACCAUUACUGUCUUUGCUAAAUGAUCUUAAAUGGAAAAGCUAGAUAAUCAGUAUCUCCUGAGAAGUGUUUAUUCCUUUAUUAGUUUCUUAACAUAUAUGCUUAAAUUACAUAUACAUAUUUCCACUGGGGACAAAAAAA
rnacentral:lncRNA from 1 species